rnacentral:rRNA from 1 species
AAACNANUCUCGGNAACGGAUAUCUCGGCUCUCGCAUCGAUGAAGAACGUANCGAAAUGCGAUACUUGGUGUGAAUUGCAGAAUCCCGUGAANCAUCGAGUCUUUGAACGCAAGUUGCGCCCGAAGCCAUUAGGCCGAGGGCACGUCUGCC